UGGGCUGAGACUGUUGGGUUUUCUCGAU
rnacentral:piRNA from 1 species